GCAUUAAUGGGGUAGUGGUAACCUGGGUCGUUGCCAAGUAUUGCAUAUAUACUACGUAAUUGACCGUCGACCCGCCGGGGGUUCGAUUCCCUCUUAAUGCA